ACCUCCUCGCCUCUUCUCCUCCC
rnacentral:miRNA from 1 species